UGUGACUUGUAUCCAUGUCCUUCCCUAAAUUCAUCACAGGGAGGUCUGCUCAUAGGCUUCCUCUCUUCCUCCUAGCAUCUCAAGGAUACUAAGAAGCAGUCAACCUGUCCAUCUGUCAUUCCUGCUCUUGCUAGGUUAAGAAACAGCCACAGAGAGGAAGGGAGGCUCAACAUGGAAUGCUCUGGAUUAUUCCAGUCUGGUGAAGAUGAAGAUACCAAAACCCAAAACAAAUAGCCUUCCAUCUGGGAGGUGCUACUAGCCCCAUGCCCUAGCCCUCAACUCAGCUCACUGGCCAAUUAUAAAGUGCCUCUUAAAUGACAGGGCAUGGGGUUGAGCGCAGGGUUGGAAAUGAUAGAAAACAGACCUUCUUGA